rnacentral:rRNA from 1 species
UACGUAGGGGGCAAGCGUUGUCCGGAAUCAUUGGGCGUAAAGAGCGUGUAGGCGGCCCGAUAAGUCCGCCGUGAAAGCCCCGGGCUCAACCUGUGAAUGCCGCUGGAAACUGUCUGGCUAGAGUCCGGAAGGGGCGAGUGGAAUUCCUGGUGUAGCGGUGAAAUGCGUAGAUAUCGUAAGGAAGACCAGUGGCGAAGGCGGGUCUCUGGACAGUUCCUGACGCUGAGGCACGAAGGU